rnacentral:rRNA from 1 species
UACGUAGGUGGCAAGCGUUGUCCGGAAUUAUUGGGCGUAAAGCGCGCGCAGGCGGCCUCUUAAGUCUGAUGUGAAAGCCCCCGGCUCAACCGGGGAGGGCCAUUGGAAACUGGGAGGCUUGAGUAUAGGAGAGAAGAGUGGAAUUCCACGUGUAGCGGUGAAAUGCGUAGAGAUGUGGAGGAACACCAGCGGCGAAGGCGACUCUUUGGCCUAUAACUGACGCUGAGGCGCGAAAGCGUGGGGAGCAAACAGG